CCAACCACCUCGGCUUCUUCAUCAUACACCUACAACAAAACUUCUCUAACUCCAACCAUGAUAUAAAUAUCUAUACUUGGACUUGGUGGACUAUUAUUUGGGGGUUCAAAAAAAUUUACUCCAUUAAAGUCCACACAUUACAUUAAUGAUUAUACUUGGACUUGGGGGACUAUUGUUGCGUGUUGUCACACCUGUCCUACCCACCUGGGCUAGUGGCCCACUCAUCCUGAUCCACGUGGCAUUCCUGUCGAGGUGGCCCACAUUGCCGAGGUGGGUUAUAUCCGAACUGCUUCUAACCGAGGCCCAUGGCCCGAGGCGUGGAAGCCUUUGGUUGUAGCUG
rnacentral:lncRNA from 1 species